UGCUUCUAUCAAAUUCCACAGAAAAGCUCAGAUUCUCAUAGCGUCCAAGAAGUUUGAGAAGAUGGCCAGGCGAGACGAAGCUGACGGUGUACAACAUGGGUGAGGUGAAGGGUAUUCUUUAAGUUGAUGAUUUACAGGUACGACUCGUGUCCUGUAAUUCCCGUCUUUGAUCUUUAUACAGUGUAGUUCUCCAUCCAUGGUAUCAUCAAAUUGCAUCAGUGGGGCGAGCCGCAAGGGGAAAGGAGUGAAAUGUUCGAUUAGGAAUUAGAGCCCUUAUUUAUUUUUUCUUUUUUUCUUGAAUGAGGGUUGAUUUUUAUGUGAACUGAAUUCGAGAACAUGUUCACCUACUAGUCUAAUCUAAUUUUUCUAGCCAUAUGCAAUUAGCUUCCUGUUCACCCUU